AUUAUUUUGAGUCAUUUUAAGUGUGUUUCGAGUUAUUAGAGUUUUUAGCCUAAUUUUGUGUCCUUAAGUCUUGUUUAAUAUUUUUAAAUUAAUUUAGAAUAGAUUAGCAAUCCCUCCUAAUCCCCGGCCUAGAACGAUACCCUACUUACAUCCAUACUACAAUUGUCAAAAAGAGGGUUUAAUUUGUGUGCUUAUAUAUUUCGCAUCACUUCAUAAGGCCUAUGGACCUACAAACACAUGAAAAUAGCUUAAAAUACUAAAAUAACUAAGAACUAAUUAAGUAAAUGCAAGGAAACAAGCUAAUUAAGUCGCAUAAAUAUGCUCCUAUCAAAUUGCCCCACACUUAGCUUUUGCUAGUCCUCGAGCAAAACGAAAAGAAACAAAACACAACUAGACAUUCCAACAUUUGCCUCAAGGAUUUCCAAUGCACAUGAUAUGUUAAAAAUCACUACUCACAUAGAUUUUAAUCAUCCUUACCCUGAAGCACAUACUUAAUCACAGUCACCACUUACUAGCUCACAUUUAAUCAAUUUAAAACAUGGUUUUGAAUGUAGUAACAUGCCUUAGAAAAUUCACUCAAUUCCUUACUAGGUGCUCUCUUAUUUUCACACAAUAAUUUCUUACUACACUCCUUACACUAGGUAUAUGUGAGAAGAUUAAUGUAAACAUAAAAACUAAUACUCACAUAUGUUAUAACAAAGAAAGCACUUUUCUAGAAUUAUUAAUGCAUGUAUAUAUAUGAUCUCAUGAACGGAAUGCCACUACUUAGAUGCGAGAACCAAGGAUACCAUAUGCUCAAACCAAUUCCAAACUCCACAUAUUGAAAUACACAACACUCAAGAUAGAAGUUGAGGGUUGUAACAGGGCUAAAGUGUUGGAAAUAUGCCUUGCAAGUCAAUCUUUGGAAGAAACCUUUCAGGAUAAUGAAUGUGUGUAUAGAUGACUCUUAUACAUCAAAAGGCAAAGAUACUAAUUAGGACUAUCUCAACAAACGAUAUAUGUCCUAAAUAGUGAAUCCAUGGACAAUGGAUCGAUGUAAGAAGUAAUCAAAUGAUGUUAGACUACAUAGACCUUCUUCACAUAACCAUCAUGUCCAAAAAGGUUCCUGGUCAUAUGAUUGUCAGAGGGAUACUGACAAUGCAAAGACCAGUAUAUACUGUGUCCCCUUCAAUUGGAAGGAUGGAAAGUCUUAUCCCAUUCGUGUAGUGACACUAAGACAGGUAUGUAGGUGCUCAUUAAGGGAAUGAGUUCACUGAACACAAUCGAACGAGAGUACUUGCAUGGAGGUCUACUCACAUGUCAAGCAAGUAACUCUAAUGGUUAGAAUAAUGUAAGUAGUCCUUUGACCUGAGGCAUCAUAGUUGUCUUGUGGUUCGGUACUUGAUCUUUGAUUAUGUCAAAGUCACUCCAUCCGCGGGUGUCCACGACAUAGUUGGGGUUAAGCCACUUAGUCAUGGAGGCAAGUGAAUGCGCAACAAGGAAUCUCUAAUCCUCGUUAAGAGAGGAUGAAUGCUCUAAGAUAUGAUUCGGGAAUCUUCGGCCGAAGUAUCGAGCGUAAUAAAGGAAAACGUUCCUAUACGACUCAAAUGAAUCAUAUAAGAAGGAAUAAUCACAUUAGGGGUUUGACAUAAUAUAUCCAUACCCUAGUAAUGUGAUUGAGAGUAUUGUUUUAGAGAAUGAUCGAAUUACAUUGUAAUUCCAACUGAAUAGGUUCUCCGAACAAAUUCUACAUUAACUUGGGUAGCCAUGAUAUAUGGUUAGAUGUCACUCAUGACUUGUGAGUUCUUCUAGAUGAUUAAAUGUAGUCGUCAAAGAAGAAGGUGAAUUAAAAGUAAGUUUUAAUUCACUAAGUGAUUGGAUUAAAAAUAAUCAAUUGGAUUGGUGCCAAUCACCUCACUGCCUUGCUAAUUAGAACCUAAAAUGAUUGUUCACCAAUACACUCUUGUAGUGAGUAACUAAUGGAUGAUGAAAAUAAUUAAUUGGAUUAAUUAAGUGUUGUGAUUAAUUAGAAUGUCUAAAGAAAUCAUAAAAGCGAUAAAAGAUCCUUUUGGGCUUAAAGAAAAGUUCGGGUCUAAUUGGGCACAUUGGGCCUAAACCCAUUGGGCUUUUAUUCAAGCAUAGGAUGACUUGAAAUAAUAAAAGCCCAAAGCCCAAACAACACUAAAGGAGCCGGCCAAAGGAGGGAGAGAGAGUCAAAUGUUGACUUGUUUCUUUUUGGUUAUAAAAGGAACUUUAUAGCACAAAGUUUCAUUAGGGUUUUUUGAAGUGUUAAAACAACAAAAGAGAAAAAUAAAAUAUCUCUCUCAACACUCAAAGGGCCGGCCACCAAAGGGGGGGUUUAGCUAAUCAUCUUCUCACCCUUUUGGUUAUUCCUUCAUCCUUCUCACUACUCUAGUGGGUGAGGAUCUUUAGAGGUCUUCAACUUUGGAGACUUAAGGAGAACCAAGGAGCACUCAUUCUAACAAAGUGGAGGAGGCAAGGAGGGAGGCUAGGCUCAAGGAGUUCCAACAACAAAGGGCUUGGAGGUGAUCCAUUCUUGGUCUAAAGUCUAGAUCAAGAGGUAUAAAACUACUACACUUUGUUUUUCAAUAAAUUGUUUUUGAUGCAUCUUACAUAAACCUACGCAUCUUGAAGGGGAUUUGCAUGACUAUAGCUUUGAUAUUAUUUGAUAACAUGCUUCCAUUGCUUUCGUAUAUAAAUUUUGAAUUGUAUAUGCAUGCUAGUCACUAGAAAUCCCACAUGAAAUCUCACAAUUUCCCUUCAAGUGGUAUCAGAGCCAAAGGUUUAUGUUUGAUGUGUCCUUUUGGAUUUUAUGCAUAUGGAUUU
rnacentral:lncRNA from 1 species